rnacentral:rRNA from 1 species
UUGGAGGGCAAGUCUGGUGCCAGCAGCCGCGGUAAUCCCAGCUCCAAUAGCGUAUAUUAAAGUUGUUGCAGUUAAAAAGCUUGUAGUUGAACUUCGGGGUCUACCCAUUGGUCAGGCUUAAUUGUCUGUACUGGUGAGAUGGAUCUCUACCUUCUGAGGAACUUUCAUGCCAUUUAUUUGGUGUGAUGGGAAAUCAGGACUGUUACUUUGAAAAAAUUAGAGUGUUUAAAGCAGACUAUCGUCUGAAUACAUUAGCAUGGAAUAAUGAAAUAGGACGGACUGAUUCUAUUUCGUUGGUUUCUAGGAUCACCGUAAUGAUUAAUAGGGAUAGUUGGGGGCAUUAGUAUUCAAUUGUCAGAGGUGAAAUUCUUGGAUUUAUUGAAGACUAACUACUGCGAAAGCAUUUGCCAAGGAUGUUUUCAUUAAUCAAGAACGAAAGUUAGGGGAUCGAAGACGAUCAGAUACCGUCGUAGUCUUAACCAUAAACUAUGCCGACUAGGGAUCGGACGAAGUUAAUUUUAUAAUGACGCGUUCGGCGCCUUACGGGAAAC